UCAAACUUGGUCAUUUAGAGGAAGUAAAAGUCGUAACAAGGUCUCCGUAGGUGAACCUGCGGAGGGAUCAUUACAGAGACUCUGCCCCCUGGGUAGGCCUCCCACCCUGUGUCGUUGUACCUAUGUUGCUUUGGCGGGCCGCGGGGCCCCGGCCCUGCCCCCGGCUCCGGCUGGGGCGUGCCCGCCAGAGGACCUCAAAACCUGAACGUUAGUGUCGUCUGAGUGCUAUAUAAUAGUUAAAACUUUCAACAACGGAUCUCUUGGUUCUGGCAUCGAUGAAGAACGCAGC
rnacentral:misc_RNA from 1 species